GACGAACGCUGGCGGCGUGCUUAACACAUGCAAGUCGAACGGUAAGGCCCUUCGGGGUACACGAGUGGCGAACGGGUGAGUAACACGUGGGUGAUCUGCCCUGCACUUCGGGAUAAGCCUCGCAAACUGGGCCUAAUACCGGAUAGGACCCUGGGAUGCAUGUCCUGGGGUGGAAAGCUUUUGCGGUGUGGGAUGGGCCCGCGGCCUAUCAGCUUGUUGGUGGGGUGAUGGCCUACCAAGGCGACGACGGGUAGCCGGCCUGAGAGGGUGACCGGCCACACUGGGACUGAGAUACGGCCCAGACUCCUACGGGAGGCAGCAGUGGGGAAUAUUGCACAAUGGGCGCAAGCCUGAUGCAGCGACGCCGCGUGAGGGAUGACGGCCUUCGGGUUGUAAACCUCUUUCAGCACCGACGAAGCGCAAGUGACGGUAGGUGCAGAAGAAGGACCGGCCAACUACGUGCCAGCCGCCGCGGUAA
rnacentral:rRNA from 1 species